ACUUUCUAUCAGAGGGGUUCAAACUCGUACUUUGAGCAAAUGGAAGAACAAAGGUGCAGAGGGAAUCAGAAUUAUUGAUUAGGCAGUAAUUGGGCAUGUUAGAAAGUCCGAGGAUGGAAGCAAGGGAAUAUGAUUGAAGAAUUUUACUUCCAAUAUGCUACGUACUCUGUUUUUGGUUAAAGCAGCCAUAGUCAUGUAGUUAAAAGAUCUCAUCUUUAACAUACUGAAACUUAACUGUAGUUUUGAGAGUUGUCACCUCACCUCAAAUGAUGGGCAUCUUUUUACUUUUUCUUUGGUAAAUUUUAUGUUUGCAUCCUAUUUUGUUC